ACGUAUGGGGCGAGCGUUGUUCGGAAUUAUUGGGCGUAAAGGGCGUCUAGGCGGGAAAUUAAGUUAGGUGUGAAAGCUAUGGGCUCAACCCAUAAACUGCAUCUAAAACUGAUUUUCUUGAGUUCGGGAGAGGAGAGCGGAAUUCCAGGUGUAGCGGUGUAAUGCGUAGAUAUCUGGAAGAACACCAGUGGCGAGUGCUGCUCUCUGGCCUAGAACUGACGCUGAAGCGCGAAAGCGUGGGGAGCGAAAAG
rnacentral:rRNA from 1 species